rnacentral:rRNA from 1 species
CGAACGCUGGCGGCGUGCUUAACACAUGCAAGUCGAGCGAGAACGCGGGUCUUCGGACUCGUUAGUACAGCGGCGAACGGGUGAGUAUCACGUGAGUAACGUGCCCUAGGGUGGGGGAUAACAGUGCGAAAGCGCUGCUAAUACCGCAUAAGCUCACGACAUCUUUGGAUGAAGUGAGAAAAGGGGGCCUCUGACUCAAGCUCCCGCCCUUCGAUCGGCUCGCGUCCCAUUAGCUAGUUGGUGAGGUAAUGGCUCACCAAGGCUACGAUGGGUAGCUGGUCUGAGAGGAUGAUCAGCCACACUGGAACUGAGACACGGUCCAGACUCCUACGGGAGGCAGCAGUGGGGAAUCUUGCGCAAUGGGCGAAAGCCUGACGCAGCAACGCCGCGUGUGUGAUGAAGGCCUUCGGGUUGUAAAGCACUGUCAGGAGGGAAGAAAUGCUAUUGGUGAAUAUCCAGUGGCUAUGACGGUACCUCUGAAGGAAGCACCGGCUAACUCC